GCGCCCCAUUGCCUCCGUGUGUGGCCUUGAACUUGACUGUACACGUCGCGAGCGACCCAGUUUUGCGGCGCGUCCCCCGCACCGCCGGCAGUCGCGCGCAUUGUCACGGCCGAGCCACCUGAAUGGAUCUAAGGCGGCAUAAGGCGUAUAUUUGCGUGGCGGCGGCGCUGAACACUCUCGUUUUCACUUUGCUGUGUUACGUCACGCUGCACGUUACAUCGGUGGAUUAUCUCGCACACGUACAACGCGGACGAUAGCAGGGCAGAAACUUCCCACGAAUGUAAUAACGGAGGUGCCUUUUGAUCAGAUGCCUUGUGAAUGGCGGAUAAGUACAAAGUACCACAGCAUGCGGCAUGCACGCGCUUACGAUCAGUUUCUGGAGCGAUAAAUCAAAAUUAGUACUUCAGUCCACACGAACGAGAAUAUUGACUCGGAUUAAGGUCAAUCAAUGAACGGGGAUGCACGAUGCGCUAUGCAGGAAGACAGCGAGCAUUUGUAAGACCUCAGUUCAAUCAGAAUUGAGUGACGUAAUCAACAAAAUAUUUGUCAUUUCCUUUCUGUCUUGAAUGGAAAAGUUCAGAUGCGUAUCAUACCAGACUCGAUACAGAAGAUAAGAUAGACAGUUUAUUGGGUCAUCCGCGUCUAAACGAACCUACAUCAACAAACAACGGCAGUCAAAACAAACAAUCAAACUCAUUGUUUCGGUGUGACUCACCAGCGCCAUCUAGUUAUGGAAUAUGACAUUAAAGGAUAAUGUUUACUGCAAACGGGUACGAAUUGAAAUGCAGCCAAAUGUAAGAGUGAUUCAUUUAAUUGUAGGUUGAAGAGAAAUUGUUAAACCAGCUUAUAGGAGUGUUCAAUGUAGGAUAGGUCUCAUGUAAAGAGACGCUGCUCAGCAGACUAUUUAAUGACAUACGAAAAUCAACCAUAAUGUAUUGGAAUCAAGGUUUGAGAUUUAUAUCAGUGUUGCAGUGACUUGUAUUAUGACGUCACAAGUCACUGGCUCGAAAUGUUUCGGAAAGUGCUAAUCAGAAACAACCUUCUCUUGUCUUUCAAAAGUGAAAUGUUAUCGAAAUCACAGUUCAUUGUUUUCCUGACUAAUGAAUUAAGACGAGUACGCGGUCAAAGACCUUAACUUAAUGCCUUUAAGGCCAUGAGUUUUAACAACCCAUCAAGAAAAACUUACUUUAAUAUCACACAUUACCACAACUAUAAAAAUACGAAUUGAUUGAUAUGCAAAUAACUUUUUUUCUUUGAAUUCCAUUUGAUUCUAUUACGGUACAUUUGAAAAACAAAUCUAUCGAAUUUUUUCAGCAUUCGGCAAUGAAAAGCGGAGGUUACUUUUGGUGUCAAUAACCUCGGUUCAGUUAGGCGAAAACAGUCGGCGAACGAGUCAUCACAGUUCGGGCGUUUCAUAAACAAUCCAGUCACAUAAACAAAGACACCGUAAGCAGAUUAAAAGUUCGUGGAUUACACAAAACGCUUUACGCGAAGCGUGCCCGCAAAGCGUCGCGCAUAGUGGGUAUGGCAUGGAGACCGUAAAGCAUUUGGGAAUGAUUACAGUAAAAAAAACUAUAGCUUUAGCUAGUAUAAUGCAAGAAGUAGAAUAGCGUCUCGUAGAGAGACUAGGCGCUAACGGAAUUUAUUAAAAACACGCAUUUUCCUUGUUCCGAUUAUUUUUUUAUAUUUUAUCAAUACUAUACAUAUACAUAUUUUUAUUUUGUCUUCUGAGAUUUUUUUAACAUGAAACGUUACGUAAAACGUACAUAAUAUUACGAUUAAAUAGAAAAUAAUUAUACUGAGAUAAAAUCUGUAUGACGACAUUUUUACAAAAGACAAUAAGAACUUCAGAUCACCAACAUCAUACCAUAAAAUAAUUUGUGAUAAAAAAAAACUAUGUAUUGAUUUAUUAAUUAAAGAUGAUGAUUCUGUAGCUUAGUAAAUUGUGUGUGUGCUUAAACAUCUAACCAACUUUAAAAUUACAUAAAACUAGAUUGUGAAUAAAUCAAAAUAACUGUCUAAUACUAUCAUGACUGAGCAUAAGUAUGUUUGAUGUUGUGUUUUUAGUUAGAUUAGCUUUAAAACUCUUUGCUUAGAAAUAUCUCACUCUAGGAAAAAAUAAAAUGCCAAAUAACAUAGAAAUGUUAAUGGCCACAACAUGCCAUAAACAGCUUCAUAUUUCUGGGUGUAUUUUGCUUAAAAUACUAUCUAACUGUAUAACAUAAUUAGCACAGGCAAAUGCAGAACAGCAAUUUAUUAACAA